UGCAAGUCGAGCGGAUUGAUGGGAGCUUGCUCCCUGAUAUCAGCGGCGGACGGGUGAGUAACACGUGGGCAACCUGCCUAUAAGACUGGGAUAACUUCGGGAAACCGGAGCUAAUACCGGAUGACCCCUUUCCUCUCAUGAGGAAAGGCUGAAAGAUGGUUUACGCUAUCACUUAUAGAUGGGCCCGCGGCGCAUUAGCUAGUUGGUGAGGUAACGGCUCACCAAGGCAACGAUGCGUAGCCGACCUGAGAGGGUGAUCGGCCACACUGGGACUGAGACACGGCCCAGACUCCUACGGGAGGCAGCAGUAGGGAAUCUUCCGCAAUGGACGAAAGUCUGACGGAGCAACGCCGCGUGAGUGAUGAAGGUUUUCGGAUCGUAAAACUCUGUUGUUAGGGAAGAACAAGUACGAGAGUAACUGCUCGUACCUUGACGGUACCUAACCAGAAAGCCACGGCUAACUACGUGCCAGCAGCCGCGGUAAUACGUAGGUGGCAAGCGUUGUCCGGAAUUAUUGGGCGUAAAGCGCGCGCAGGCGGUCCUUUAAGUCUGAUGUGAAAGCCCACGGCUCAACCGUGGAGGGUCAUUGGAAACUGGGGGACUUGAGUACAGAAGAGAAGAGUGGAAUUCCACGUGUAGCGGUGAAAUGCGUAGAGAUGUGGAGGA
rnacentral:rRNA from 1 species